rnacentral:rRNA from 1 species
UGGGGAAUCUUCCGCAAUGGACGAAAGUCUGACGGAGCAACGCCGCGUGAGUGAAGAAGGUUUUCGGAUCGUAAAACUCUGUCUUUUGGGGCGAACGUGAGUAUGGUGAACAAUCAUAGUCAGUGACGGUACCAAAGGAGGAGGCCACGGCUAACUACGUGCCAGCAGCCGCGGUAAUACGUAGGUGGCAAGCGUUGUCCGGAAUUAUUGGGCGUAAAGAGCGCGUAGGCGGGAUAGUCAGUCUGUUGUAAAGUGCGGGGCUCAACCCCGUGAUGGCAAUGGAAACAGCUAUUCUUGAGUGCAGGAGAGGAAAGUGGAAUUCCCAGUGUAGCGGUGAAAUGCGUAGAUAUUGGGAGGAACACCAGUGGCGAAGGCGACUUUCUGGACUGUGUCUGACGCUGAGGCGCGAAAGCCAGGGGGAGCGAACGGGAUUAGAUACCCCGGUAGUCCUGGCCGUAAACGAUGGGUACUAGGUGUGGGAGGUAUCGACCCCCUUCCGUGCCGGAGUUAACGCAAUAAGUACCCCGCCUGGGGAGUACGGUCGCAAGACUGAAACUCAAAUGAAUUGACGGGGUCAUAGCUGUUUCCU